UCCUGAUGGUUCGUAUGCCGGGGGCUGCAGAGAGGACUGGCCAGAGAGGAGUGCCGCGUGUGGAGCCCAGCACCCCGGGGAUGGCCCCUGGCUCCCUGCUCCCUGCCCAGGAGGAUGCGAUUGCCACCCAGGUGCUAAUGAAAGAAUGCAAAUAGCACCGGCUGAGCCGAACAUUUCAUAAAGAAGGGAACAGCCACCGACCCAAAACAGUCCGGGAUCUGCCUGCUGGCACCCAGCAAAGGUGCCAGGUUGCCACCGAGGCGCUCGCCCCCCGCACAGCGAGCUGCAGAUCUCCCCCCCGUGUGCGUGUGUUCCCUGGGUGGCCAGCGGCUGCCGUGCAUGGCGCGAUGGGCGAGCUCCCCGAGCCCGAGGUAACCUUAGCGGUGUCAAUCAGCCUGCAGCCAGCCUGUAACCCUGUCCCCGCCACGCUCCCAGCUACUUUGCUGCUUGCUGCUGCUUAAUUAGCCCUGGCUGUCGCAUGAAUUUAUCGUUGCUUGACAGCAACUUCAUUUUCUCCCGAUGUGCAUAGAUUUUUUUAUAUUUUUUUUGCCUUGCUGGUGGGAGGCAGGACUGGGGGGCAGUGGGAGGCAAAUGCUGCGUGUGUUAGCGAUGUGCAGGAUUGAUGCGGGCAUGCAGAGGGGCACACGGCUCUGCUGGGCACCCUGGCCGCUGCGGCGGUGGAAAAAUGGACAUGUUGCUUCGUGGGGAGCCUUGUCCCCCCGGGGCGAUGCUGAGUGCCUGUGCCAAGGCCCUGCUCUGCUUCCCAUCCUGCAUUUACGCUCCCUGCAGAGUAGAAGCAGCUGUUACCUGAUGCUACAGCAUGUAUAAACAUAUUAAAAAUAAUAUUCCUCCUCUCAUUUUAACAGCUAGAUCCCUGCCUGUGGCUGAAUCCCCUUUUACCUGCACAAAGCCUGGGCACUGGCUUUUCUUUUUCACCCUGCCAAAUUUUAUUUGCGUGCACUUGGGGCUAGCAUUUGGGCAGCGCUGGGAUAUUACCCCCAGAGGUUUGUCCUUUGCCGGGGAACUCGAGUUUUCCCAGUGCUGGCGGGCUGCUGUGGCAGAGGCAGGUGGAGGCAGUGGCAGCCCCAUGCAGCACCUGGCCAAGGCUCUUGCUCGGGCUCCGGGUUUUCUGCCGUGUUCUCCCAGCUGCG